GUGGGGAAUCUUCCGCAAUGGACGAAAGUCUGACGGAGCGACGCCGCGUGAGUGAAGAAGGCCUUCGGGUCGUAAAGCUCUGUCAUCAGGGACGAACGGCCGGUGGAGUGGAAAGCCACCGGAUUGACGGUACCUGAGAAGGAAGCCACGGCUAACUACGUGCCAGCAGCCGCGGUAAUACGUAGGUGGCAAGCGUUGUCCGGAAUUAUUGGGCGUAAAGCGCGCGCAGGUGGGAUCUUAAGUCCAUUUUUAAAGUUCGGAGCUCAAAUCCGGGAUGGGAUGGAAACUGGGAUUCUUGAGUACCGGAGAGGAAAGCGGAAUUCCCCGUGUAGCGGUGAAAUGCGUAGAUAUGGGGAGGAACACCAGUGGCGAAGGCGGCUUUCUGGACGGUGUCUGACACUGAGGCGCGAAAGCCAGGGGAGCGAACGGGAUUAGAUACCCGUGUAGUCC
rnacentral:rRNA from 1 species